AACAACAAUAAGCCUGUGACACAUUGCACCGUGCAUGCUCGAGUGUAGAGGACUCUCCGAUCCUGGGCACCAUACAGUACCCACAGCUCGCAGAAUGGCACAGCAGAUGUUGGAGGCGGGCGCGCUGGACCAAAUGAUGGAAGGUAUGUCUUUACAAAAUAAGGAAUCCUACUUAACACUUUUGUAAAAUUUGGAGUUUAAAUUUGGUCUUAAAAUCUCUUGUUUCCCCCCAGGACUACCAUCUGAUUUUGACUUUGAUACAUCUGAUGAAGAAGGUGAGCUCUCAGAUUCUCCACCAGUUGAGGAGCCAACGGGGCCAGUCCGGGAUGUGGUGUACGAACCUGACCCACUCUUCGACGACCCACCACCAACACCCUCGCCAGACGUCAAGCCACCUUCUCCAAAGGCUAGAAAGCGCGCCCUGUCUCCUGAAAUUGUCCACAACUCUCCUCUGCUUAGAGAUACAACAAAGUAUGAGCCUGCACCCAAAAGAAGCUAUUCUUACCACCCCAGACGCAGUCCACAGAGAGAAAAUGCUAACCAGAAGCAGAAAAGGGGACCAGACUCACGAAGACCAAACAGAUGGAACCAGAAAAGCCAGAAACAAUAUUGGUCCCCCAAACCUCUUCUGGAUUACAGCAAAAUUCCAAGAGCAGAGUACAAAAAUGCCAAACUGUUGGUGCCUACAACUGGUAAACUGCGCCCAGAGUUCUAUACUGAUCGGUUUGUGGAUGCUAUAAUUCAGAACGCUGCCAGAAAUUGUCCAGUGUCUGAAAAGGCGGUAUCACUAAAAAAUAUUGAAGAGUCUUUCAAACUGCUUAACUCUUUCUUUAACAGUGGAAUAAAUAAGGAUCAUUGGCUAUCUACAAGGUAUUUUGCAAUCUUCAACAACGGCCUGGUGGUGCUGACCCACAUGCUAGACGAACAGUUGGCCUGGGCAUAUGCUUGCCUGAAACACGGUAGGGAGUUGCCCACUGACGACAUACUCAUGUCUACUUCAGAAAAAUUGUCCCAACAGCUUGUGAUAAAACUCAUAGAGGUGAUAAAAUGUAUAGAAAAGGAUGGAAUAUUCAGCAGGAUCCUCAAAGGUGUGGCAGAUGCGGUAUGCCUUAAGGCCCAGUUCUUACGUGGUAUGAUCACCCUGAAGAGAACCCCUUGCAGCCUUCCCAUGUAUACCCUGUUUGUUUAUGUACUGACUAUUCCCACUCUGAGAACACGUGUAAUCAGGGACCCUCUGCUGACACAGUGUAAGGAUGUGGUCCUAAAGUAUCAGCCAGGCGACUGUAUAACCCUAUUGAAAGCUGCACUAAAUUGUCAUCAGUGUAACAAAGACUGUGAUAAAUGUAAAUAUAUUUUGGAUCCCCUGUUGGGACAAACACACCGCACCAAGGGGGUAUUUUUUGUGUGUGAAUAAUCAAUAAUAAACACAAUUGAACUGCA
rnacentral:tmRNA from 1 species